UACGGAAGGCAGCAGUGGGGAAUAUUGCACAAUGGGCGAAAGCCUGAUGCAGCUAUGCCGCGUGUAUGAAGAAGGCCUUAGGGUUGUAAAGUACUUUCAUCGGGGAGGAAAAAACAAAACUAAUAAUUUUAUUUCUUGACGUUACCCGAAAAAGAAGCACCGGCUAACUCCGUGCCAGCAGCCGCGGUAAUACGGAGGGUGCUAGCGUUAAUCAGAAUUACUGGGCGUAAAGAGCACGUAGGUGGUUUUUUUAAAGUCAGAUGUGAAAUCCCUGGGCUUAACCUAGGAACUGCAUUUUGAAACUGAAAUACUAGAGUAUCGUAGAGGGAGGUAGAAUUCUAGGUGUAGCGGUGAAAUGCGUAGAUAUCUGGAGGAAUACCUGUGGCGAAAGCGGCCUCCUAAACGAAUACUGACACUGAGGUGCGAAAGCGUGGGGAGCAGGACAGGGAUUAGAUACC
rnacentral:rRNA from 1 species